UACGUAGGUCCCGAGCGUUGUCCGGAUUUAUUGGGCGUAAAGCGAGCGCAGGUGGUUUAUUAAGUCUGGUGUAAAAGGCAGUGGCUCAACCAUUGUAUGCAUUGGAAACUGGUAGACUUGAGUGCAGGAGAGGAGAGUGGAAUUCCAUGUGUAGCGGUGAAAUGCGUAGAUAUAUGGAGGAACACCGGUGGCGAAAGCACUCUGCUGGGCCGACACUGACACUGAGAGACGAAAGCUAGGGGAGCAAAUG
rnacentral:rRNA from 1 species